GACGAACGCUGGCGGCGUGCCUAAUACAUGCAAGUAGAACGCUGAAGCGAGGAGCUUACUCUUCUUGGAUGAGUUGCGAACGGGUGAGUAACGCGUAGGUAACCUGCCUUGUAGCGGGGGAUAACUAUUGGAAACGAUAGCUAAUACCGCAUAACAAUGGAUGACACAUGUCAUUUAUUUGAAAGGGGAAAUUGCUCCACUACAAGAUGGACCUGCGUUGUAUUAGCUAGUAGGUGAGGUAAUGGCUCACCUAGGCGACGAUACAUAGCCGACCUGAGAGGGUGAUCGGCCACACUGGGACUGAGACACGGCCCAGACUCCUACGGGAGGCAGCAGUAGGGAAUCUUCGGCAAUGGGGGCAACCCUGACCGAGCAACGCCGCGUGAGUGAAGAAGGUUGUCGGAUCGUAAAGCUCUGUUGUAAGUCAAGAACGGGUGUGAGAGUGGAAAGUUCACACUGUGACGGUAGCUUAUCAGAAAGGGACGGCUAACUACGUG
rnacentral:rRNA from 1 species